GCAGCUGGAUGCAUUCAUCGACAGGACCAUUCAUCCCCUCCGUUAUUGUACCGCCACGCAUAAGACGUUAGAAGGGUUUAAAUGGUGACCUGGAGCGCUUUUUCUCCCCACGAAACUAAGCUGGCGACAUUAGCAACUAAAAUCCUCCUAUAAAUAUCCCAAGAAUGCUCCGGAAGUCCUCCCAAAAUACGCACGAAGGCGGUACCCUCUCCUUUCAGGUGUUCACAGAGGUGGCGAAAACCCUAGAAAUGGAGGGCGAUGGCGAAGCAAACGCUGGAAGGUUCUUCGUCGCCGUUCAUGUGGGAGCGGGCUUCCAUUCCCCUUCCAACGAGAAGGCCUUCAGAAAAGCCAUGAAGCGAGCCUGCCUCGCCGCCGCCGCCGUUCUUCGAAAGGAUGAUGGUGGAUGCUUAGAUGCUGUUUCAGCUGCCAUUCAAGUGUUGGAGGAUGAUCCAAUCACAAAUGCAGGUCAAGGUUCAAAUUUGACAGAGUCGGGCCAUGUCGAAUGCGAUGCAAGUAUCAUGGAUGGUUGUUCUGGAGCAUUUGGAGCUGUUGGAGCUGUACGAGGUGUACGAAAUGCCAUCCAAAUUGCUGCACACUUGGCCAAAGAGCAAAUAGCAGGAUCUUCCCUGCUUGGUCGAAUACCUCCACUGUUCUUGGUUGGUGAAGGUGCUCGUGAAUGGGGAAAAUCCAAGGGCAUCAUCAUGCCAGCCACUGUUUCAGAAAUAGAAGAAUGGCUGGUGACAGAGAGGGCUAAAACACAAUGGAUGAAAUAUAAAGCGAUGCUUGCUGAUGCUAAGGGAUGGAGUGAAUCUUCUACUGCACAGACUACAUCUACCUCUGGAUCAUCUGCAGUGUCAUUGGAGAAACCAGCGAUAGAAGCUCAACGUUUAAUUGGUGGAAAGAAGAAUAAAGCUUCGCAUGGACAACCAUCUGCGAAAGAUGAUAUCAAAGAAGAUUGCAUUAUGGAUACUGUGGGAGUAAUCUGUAUUGAUAGCUCUGGUCGUGUAGCAUCAGGGGCAUCAAGUGGUGGUAUUGCAUUGAAGGUUGAUGGACGGGUUGGAUUGGCAGCAAUGUAUGGUUCAGGUUGCUGGGCUUCAUCCAGAGAUCCCUAUGGAGCUCCAUUCAUAGUUGGUUGCUGUGCAACUGGUGCUGGGGAGUACUUAAUAAAAGGAUUCGCAGCACGUGAAUGCUGUGUGUCAUCAUCAUUGUUUUCUUCGUCUGUUCAGAUCACAGUCAGGUCCUGCUUCUGCAUGUACAAAACUUCUGCGUUCUGUUGUUCAGAAUAGCAAUCAGAAGUCCCAUGAUACAGGUGCUGGGGUGUUACUAGUGCAGGCUGACACUCUGAAGGUUACUCAAAGCUCUCCACCAGAAGCAGUUGAGCUCGUUGCUGCCUACUGCUCUUCAUCCUUUGGCAUAGGCUAUUUUGGGAACUCCAUGGAUUGUCCAAAGGUAUCAAUACUUAGAGGUGCAGGGUAUAGGAACAGCAACGACAUCAAUCAUUUUGGUGCACGCGUUGUUCUCAAUUCUUUUAAAUCCUCAUGAAAGCAAGAUGCAGUAAUAUUUAGAUUAGUUUGUAUUUAGCUUUCUCCAUUCAUUAAACAGAAAUAUUUAUGUCAUGUAAUACCUCUGCUGUCAUAUGUCACUGGAGAGAAUCUUCGUGGUAUCUAGUUGAACCGUAAUUCCAUGUGUAGUCUUGUGCUACUAUUUUUUUCUUCAGGCA